rnacentral:lncRNA from 1 species
GAAAGUGUUCUGUCCAGCUUUCCUUUGCAUGCUUUGCAUGGAUGAUAGAGUGAGGUUAAGGGGAUUCUUGGGGAAUGUAAUAGAGUUGGUCAUACGCUAGUUUGGUCCCUCAUUGGAGUCUAUUUGUAUAGGUACAGACCAGAGGAACCAGAGAGAGGAGCAGUGAGUACUGCUCCAGAGUGUUCAGAGCCUGCAGAGUCAGUCCAGUUAGCCAGAGGUGAGUGGAACGAAACUUAACUCUUUUACUUGCACAAUGGAAUGUUUUAGCAUAUCUCAUGCAUCAUGAUUAUGCAAUAGGUUGAUUGCAUUAGUAUCCACGAAUAUGUUGCAUUGCAUCGUUAUUUGGUGAUGUGAGUGAAUGCUGAAUGAUCCAAUAGUCUCAGACAGGAAGUCCAGGAGGCUUUGACUACGCCCUGGCAGGUAUAG